rnacentral:rRNA from 1 species
UACGGGGGGGGCAAGCGUUGUUCGGAAUUACUGGGCGUAAAGGGCUCGUAGGCGGCCAACUAAGUCAGACGUGAAAUCCCUCGGCUUAACCGGGGAACUGCGUCUGAUACUGGAUGGCUUGAAUUCGGGAGAGGGAUGCAGAAUUCCAGGUGUAGCGGUGAAAUGCGUAGAUAUCUGGAGGAAUACCGGUGGCGAAGGCGGCAUCCUGGACCGACAUUGACGCUGAGGAGCGAAAGCUAGGGGAGCAAACGGG